AAUAGAUAUCGUCAUUGUUCUUUUAUUACACAUUUGAUCAUUCGUCUUAUUCAAAAAAAUUGUGUAAUUAUAAUUAAUUUUGUUGUGAGUUAUUUUGUUACUCAAAGUACUUUAAGCAUGAUUUAUAUCUUAUAUAUUCACAUAAAUUUUUUUAAUAAGACGAAUGGUUAAACGUGGGUUCAAAAAUCAACGGCGACAUCUAUU
rnacentral:pre_miRNA from 1 species